AACGAACGCUGGCGGCAUGCCUAACACAUGCAAGUCGAACGAAGCCUUCGGGCUUAGUGGCGCACGGGUGCGUAACACGUGGGAAUCUGCCCUUAGGUACGGAAUAACAGUUAGAAAUGACUGCUAAUACCGUAUGAUGACUCCGGUCCAAAGAUUUAUCGCCUAAGGAUGAGCCCGCGUCGGAUUAGCUAGUUGGUGAGGUAAAGGCUCACCAAGGCGACGAUCCGUAGCUGGUCUGAGAGGAUGAUCAGCCACACUGGGACUGAGACACGGCCCAGACUCCUACGGGAGGCAGCAGUGGGGAAUAUUGGACAAUGGGCGAAAGCCUGAUCCAGCAAUGCCGCGUGAGUGAAGAAGGCCUUAGGGUUGUAAAGCUC
rnacentral:rRNA from 1 species